CGGAGAUUCAGCAAUGGAUCUUAGUGGCGAACGGGUGAGUAACGCGUAGGCAAUCUGCCUUCUAGAUGGGGACAACAUCCCGAAAGGGGUGCUAAUACCGAAUGUUGUAGUUGGUUCGCAUGGACUAGCUACUAAAGGUGGCCUCUGAAUAUGCUACCGCUAGAAGAUGAGCCUGCGUCUGAUUAGCUAGUUGGAGGGGUAACGGCCCACCAAGGCUUCGAUCAGUAGCCGGUCUGAGAGGAUGAACGGCCACACUGGGACUGAGACACGGCCCAGA
rnacentral:rRNA from 1 species